CAACUUUCAGCAACGGAUCUCUUGGCUCUCGCAUCGAUGAAGAACGCAGCGAAAUGCGAUAAGUAAUGUGAAUUGCAGAAUUCAGUGAAUCAUUGAAUCUUUGAACGCACCUUGCGCCCUUUGGCUAUUCCGAAGGGCAUGCCUGUUUGAGUAUCAU
rnacentral:rRNA from 1 species